UGCCGCUCGACGCGCAGCCAAACCCAAACCCUUCCUCCCUCCCGACGGGCGACGGCGAUGGCCGCCGCGACAGAGAAGACGGCUGAGGACAUCCGCCGCGAGCUCCAGGAGCUCCAGCGCCAGCACCGCGAGAUCACCGAGCGCCUGCGCGACCCCCGUGGCCUUCGCCGCGGCGCCCCCGGCCCUGGUCCUGGACCUGGCCCCCCCCGCCCGCUCCGCGGCUUCGUGAGACCCCAUGUGGGUGCGGAAGUGGCGGAUCAGGCUCCGCAGAAGCGUCGGCUGCUAUCGGCCGUAGUUAAGGUUGAUGGCGCUGAAAAUAAUGAAGAAGGCACAAAGGAUGCCAAUGGGGAGGGGCAAGAGGCGGGUUCAGGUGCCACUGAAGGCAGUGACAGGAGGACUUUCAACACUGGCGGGUUCAGAAGGGACGGGAGCCUGUGGAUGCAGAGGAGGGUGGACUAUAAUUCGCUGCCAGAGCCAGCUCCAAGGGAGCUUCCCAGGAAUGAGGACCCGAGUUUGGUGAGAAGGAAUAAGAGGAUGCUGGGGCAGCUUCUUGUCGGUACAUUAGAGAAAUUUCAACAAGAGGAUAAAAAGCUAUCCAACUCUGAGGCUUUUCUGCGCAGAUCAGAGACUCAGCGAAAGGCUGAGCAAAAGGUUCGUGAAGAAAGUGAAAGGCUGCGACAGCAGGAACGUGAGCAAAUUGCAGAGAAGCGUAAGCGUGAUAUGACGCUCCGCGCUCGUGUAGCUGCUAAGGCAGAAGAAAAGAGGUUGGAGCUGUUGUACAUUCAGUGGACUGAGCAUCAUAAAAGGCUGUCCAAUUUCUUAAGGUUAUUUUUAUUUCUGGUCCAAAAGUGUCCAUAUUGACAAUUAAAUUGAGGGAAGAUACAUUCUAAUUGUAUGCAGACCUGAUGUUUGAUAACUAUUAGUGUAUCUGUUUACAUUGUAUACUAAUGAACAAUAUUUGUUCCAUGUUUGACUCUUAUCUCAUUACCCCCUUACGUUUGGCAGGACAAAAGCUGAGCCACCUAUUUAUUACAUGCCAACUAAACCAAUUAUUGAUGAUCCAGCCAUUGUUGAGCAGAACAAGGAAAAGGUAUUCGAAGAAUGGAAAUCUAUGCGCAGGGCUGAGCUGACUCGGUUUCAAAAGCAAGUUGAGGAGCAAUAUCUCUCAAAUGUGGAGAGGCAAUUGGAGAGGAUCCAGAAUGCCCGGAACGCUCGGAAGGCGAAUGGGCCUGGUAACAUGCAAGAAAUGGACAAGGAGCUGGACACCCACAGGGCGGAGCAUGGUCCAAAGCCUCGGCGAGUUCCCGAGGAGGGCGGCAAUGAUGAUGACGAAGAUGCAGAGGACAUGGCUGCGGAAGACGAGCUGAUGGAUGAAGUUUUGGGCAUCAACGAUGCAAUCAAUGAGGACCCAUCCAAGCCGUCCGAAGAAGCUACUACUGAAGGUCAGCCAGCAACCGAGGAAGCACAAUAGGAUUCUUUGUUCACACAAGGUAGGCGUACCAUUCCGGCAUUCCGUAUGCUUAGUUGCCGUCUUGUUGGGUGCUGUCUGUGCGUGUAUUUUUGUUAGACGUCCCCCAAUGGUUAGACUGUGUUUUAAUAUUGUUGUUUUGGCCUUUUGAUGUUGAGGCCAUACAACUGUCAAUUAUUAUCUUAUAAUUGUUGUAAGCAUACUAUAAUUGUUACCAUGAUUUGGUCGUUUUUUUUGUCGUC